ACACACACACACGCGCGCAUGCACACAUGUACAUGCAACUUACCAUUCAUAAUAAAUUCAGAAUUGAAAGAAUCUUUUCUGAUGUUACGUGCAAGGAUUUAAAGUAUUUCCACAUUUUGCUGUAAUUUGGUUCACACCUAUUUUUAUAAAAUGAUAUUCCGUAUGUAGUAUUCUGCAUCUGUAGUUAGCAUUUAACUGGGUUUUUCUCUUUUCAUCCUAAACAAGCUUACUGGAGAACUUAAAGGUUUCUGCCACAUUCCUAAUCAUUAGUUUCUGUAAUUUUCAAAUUGUCUUACAAUCCAUCUCUUAGUUGACAUCACUUUCCUCUUCCCAGCUUUCUGCUGAAUAAAAUAUUGCUGGGAUAGACUUGCCUGGUGCUGCUUCCAAGGCAGAGUCCCACGAGGUAUACAGAUGGACCUUGAACCUGAGAGGUAACCAAAGAGGACCUUGAACUUCUGAUCCUCCUGCCUCCACCUCCCUGCAGACAGAGAGUUACUUCUUUUUGGAGAUAUAAUGAUAAUCUCCAGAGCUGCAUGGUGGAAUGUAAGACGUUUUCCCCUCCAUGAGCGGAAGCUAACCAGUGUGCCCUAACUUGAAGUCGCUGACAUCCCAGCCAGAUCGUCCGGGUUUCUCCAGCUAUUUGUUUAUGCAGCGGGGCUCUUUCCUGCCUCCUGCAGUCUGGCGUGCUUUGCUGGUGUGGCUAGGAAUGCAAAUCUAUCUGCUCUCCCAUGGUGCUCUGUGACAGGCCUCUGCCUCCCUUUACCUGAAUCAGCCGAAUGGGGGUUUGGCAGGGCUGUGGCUUGGUAAUGUGAGAAGAUCAGGGUCUGCCCCAAGCAGAACUGUCUCUCUUUUUCCAUUAUGUCCCAAAGGAGUAAGUCAGCUCCCUUCUCCCAGGGCCAACUGUACUAAAAGCCAUUUUGCACCAGCAGAGAUGGAGACGUUUAUCUCCCGGUAACUGUGAGAGCUGCUUUCUGUCCCUCCAGCAUGGAUGGAAAUCAAGCUGUUUACUCAGUGACCACCCUAGGGACUGAGAUGUGGCUCUAAUUUGCUGGCACUUCUGAAACACAUUGCUCGGAUCUCACUUUCUACAACUCUGAAACCUACCAGGAAUCUGUAAAAUUACCUUGCUUCCAUCCUACCCUGGUGGGCUCUGAUCACGAAGUGCAAAUGGAGAGACCAGGACUCCCUGCUUUGGAAAUGAGGGCUACCGCUUGAAAGGUACUGGGAUGGCAGUGAGCUAGCUUGUUAAACAACUUUGCCAGCACCAGGAUUUCUGGGAUGGAGGGAGAGAUGAAAGGGGUCUGUGACAGGUGCUUAGAUGCGGUUUCCUGUGGAAACUCCCGAGGCAGAGCCUGCACAUGCUGUAGGCCUCACAUGGCAGGAUCAGAGUCUCUUUGGCUAGUGACAAACACACUUCCUUAUCACCAGGCAAAUUCUUCUUCACAAUAUGUCCCUGUCUUUCCUUCUACCAGCGCAGGGCCAUGCCUACAUCGAGUGACGCUCUGAUGUCACAAAGGCCAUCAAGAUGAAUUGCAUCUAUUUACUUCACAUCUCUGGCAUGCCGAAGUCACAGUUUUCAGUGUGCAAUCCUGACAGCCACACUUGGGAGAGAUGGCUGGAGCAGUCAUCUUUAGAGUUUGAAGUCAUCCUGGGAUACAUUCAUUGCAAGGCCUUUUCUCAAACAAACAGAAUCCCAGAGUGCUCUGAGCCCAGGCUCCGGCUUUGCAGGUUUGUCCUGGGGAUUUGCUUGUUCAUCUGAUCUCUGUCCUCGAUGGGCAGCCAGGUCUUUAUGAGGCCUGUGCACUUUCUUUCCCAGCUCUUCCCAUGAGGUAGGAGAGUAUUCAUAAUGCUCUUUAAAAAAACUCAUUUAUUUUUAUUUUAUGUGCAUUGGUGUUUUGCUUGCAUGUAUGUCUGUAUGAGGGUGUUGGAUGCCCUGGAACUGGAGUUACAGUUCUGAGCUGCCAUGUGGGCACUGGAAAGCGAACUCAAGUCCUCUGGAAGAGCCACCAAUGCUUUUAACCACUGAGCCAACUCUUUUCCCUGCUAAUUAAUAUAGAUGGAUACACGCAUAUGUUCCUAUAAAAGGAAUAUUAAAUGUGAAAAGCAU
ensembl:antisense 9330154K18Rik RIKEN cDNA 9330154K18 gene